UACGCUUGUUGGUGGGGUAAUGGCCUACCAAGGGCGACGACGGGUAGCCGGCCUGAGAGGGCGACCGGCCACACUGGGACUGAGACACGGCCCAGACUCCUACGGGAGGCAGCAGUGGGGAAUAUUGCACAAUGGGCGAAAGCCUGAUGCAGCGACGCCGCGUGAGGGAUGACGGCCUUCGGGUUGUAAACCUCUUUCAGCAGGGAAGAAGCGCAAGUGACGGUACCUGCAGAAGAAGCGCCGGCUAACUACGUGCCAGCAGCCGCGGUAAUACGUAGGGCGCAAGCGUUGUCCGGAAUUAUUGGGCGUAAAGAGCUCGUAGGCGGCUUGUCACGUCGGAUGUGAAAGCCCGGGGCUUAACCCCGGGUCUGCAUUCGAUACGGGCUAGCUAGAGUGUGGUAGGGGAGAUCGGAAUUCCUGGUGUAGCGGUGAAAUGCGCAGAUAUCAGGAGGAACACCGGUGGCGAAGGCGGAUCUCUGGGCCAUUACUGACGCUGAGGAGCGAAAGCGUGGGGAGCGAACAGGAUUAGAUACCCUGGUAGUCCACGCCGUAAACGUUUGGGAACUAGGUGUUGGCGACAUUCCACGUCGUCGGGUGCCGCAGCUAACGCAUUAACUUCCCCCGCCCUGGGGAGUACGGGCGCAAGGGUUAAAACUUCAAAGGAAUUUGACGGGGGCCCC
rnacentral:rRNA from 1 species